CACCUUAUUGCGCACGCGUCAAAAAACUAAUAACUGGAAUAAACGAUAAGGUUAAUAAGGUUAUUAGGUUCGCUUCAGAUCUCUAAAAUGUCGGUUGGGCAAGCUCUAUUCAAAGUCAAUCCAUUGGUUAACAGUUUAAAUUUUAAACGUUUUGCUAGUGGAACUGGAAGAAAAGCUAUGUCGACUUCUUACCGGAUUUUUGCCGUAGCUGUAAUCGGUACUGCUUUACUUGGACUUCCUACACUUCUAAUGAUAACUCGACCCAAGCCGAAGGAGUAACCAAUGAAUUUUCUCUUUUUGGAUUUUAUAAAGACUGAAAGAAGUUAUGAUAUUAAAAUAAUCAUUAAAAAAAAUUUUGUAGUUUUAUUAUAAUGGUAAACUUAUUCUCUAAAAAGUCGCAACAUUCCCAGAAUUUAUUUUUAAAUAUUAUCGAAGGAAUUCAUAAUUUAAAUAUAUACCGCUGGAUAAAAA